CAAUAUUGUGAUUUAUCUUUUUUCCUAUUUUUUUGAGCUUUUUCUCAUUUUAAUUGCUUUCUUAUAAUUUUCUUAAUAAUUUCAUUAAUUGUAUUUACUGUUACAAAAAUCCAUUAAUUGUGUUUAUGUUAACAUUAAAAAAACCGGUCGAUCUUCCUCCUUCUCCCUCACAAACUACAUUAGGGGUUUUGAUGGAGGGUAUAGUGAUGGACGAGGUGGUAGAGGCGGAGGUGGAAGACAUCUUAAACAGCUCAUUGGAAGGUUAUUUCACUGCUUAAAAGUUAUUCUACGAAGGUGAAAUAGUGAAGUGAUAAAAUAUUUUGGCUCGAGCAUCCAGCAGAUCUCAAAUUGUGUACGAUGUUGGACAUCAUAUAUGAAAAGUUAGGAUGAGAGGGUUAAAGAUUAUCUUCAACAAUGGAUCACAGGACCCCUGGCGUCAUGAGUCCGAACAGACUUCUUCCCCAGAUAGAAUGGGUGGCUGCUAGAUUCCUACUCCCUGCUGCAUAAAUAAUGGAAAGGUAAAAAGGAUGACACUUCCUCGGUCAAAUCUUGCUAUUCACUUCAAUGCUCUCCAGCAUACUAAGCUCAAAUCCCUCUUGGCCAUGGAGAGAAAUAUGUAAAAGCUAUUCCCCCUACAAGAUUCAACUUUUCAUUUGGUUGGCAAGCAAAAAUGCAUGCCCAGCUCAAAGCAAGUUACAGAGGAGAGAAAUGACUGUCUACAGUAGAUGCCCUUUUACCUUCAUUGUAAGUUCACAUCUGAGUUAUUGGACCUCUUCUUCAUUAUGCUAGGAAUCAAGUGGGUCAUGCCAAGAUAUGUCUUAGGUUUUCUUCGAGGUUGGACUGUGAAUAAAGAGUAGCUUUGAAUUAAAACUAUGGAAUGACAUCCCUACUGUAAUUUGGUGAAUCAUAUGGUGAGAAAAGACCUAGGAGUUUCGAAGACAAAAUGAAAAAUAUAAUUAGUCUCAAGAUUCUUUGUAUUUCUACGCUUUCCUUUUUGGAGUAAUAUGGCAAAUGUAUACGAUACACAGGAUGUAGAGGCCUUGCUCGAUUUUAUUUGUUCUCUUCAAAGUUAGUAAGGCUUGUUUUUUGUAAUUGUUUCUAAUCACCAACAUUCUCUUGAUGCUGGUUUUCAUUUAUAAAGUUUCCAUCAUAAAAAAAUAUCAGCUACGGUUCACCACAUUUCUCCUCUAAGAUUUGUUUGUGUGAGACAAGCAUCACGUGUAACUAUCCAUAAAAUAGCAUAAACCAGUACUAUCAGAUGCUUAAAAGAAAAUUCAAAUAUGAAAUAUCUCGGAGUAUUCAGAGCGAACUAUUUAAGGUUUGAAGUGUUCACAAGGCAUUUGUCUAAGGAUUGAAGUGUAUAAAAGGCAAAUACCUCACUGAUCAAUAUGUUAGACAUUUUACUCCCUAUGGUCACCUCUGAUUGCUAGAGGCUGCUUGUUUUGAGUCUUGCUCUUGCAAGUUCCAUUUUGCCUUUCUAGACUUUGGGGACAACUUACCAGUUAUUGCGGGCACAUGAGUAGGAAGGAACCAGGAACAUUCAUUUUGGCAUUAAAAAGUUCCUCUUGCUUGUUAGUGGGGAAUAAUAUAUCCUUUCAAGCCAGUCCUUCUGGAGUACGCGUUCGGUUGUUUCUUAGAAAAGAGGUGAAAAAGUAGGGAUGCAGACACUAGUAAAGAUGAUCCUCAAAUGAAUAAAGAGAUAAAGAAGGAUAUUGUUACUUUACUAGCGGAAGAGAAUGGCAAAUCAGGAUGUUGCUAUGUUUUGUGCACGUUUGAUAUCACCUUGAAGGCAGUG